rnacentral:rRNA from 1 species
UGGGGAAUUUUCCGCAAUGGGCGAAAGCCUGACGGAGCAACGCCGCGUGAGGGAUGAAGGCCUCUGGGCUGUAAACCUCUUUUAUCAAGGAAGAAGAUCUGACGGUACNUGAGGAAUAAGCCUCGGCUAAUUCCGUGCCAGCAGCCGCGGUAAUACGGGAGNGGCAAGCGUUAUCCGGAAUUAUUGGGCGUAAAGCGUCCGCAGGCGGCCCUUCAAGUCUGCUGUNAAAAAGUGGAGCUUAACUCCAUCAAGGCAGUGGAAACUGNUGGGCUUGAGUGNGGUAGGGGCAGAGGGAAUUCCCGGUGUAGCGGUGAAAUGCGUAGAUAUCGGGAAGAACACCAGUGGCGAAGGCGCUCUGCUGGGCCAUCACUGACGCUCAUGGACGAAAGCCAGGGGAGCG